ACCAGACAAGGAGAACGCUUUUGGGGUCUGCUGACUUCCCAGAAUAAACCAGUUCCUCUGAAGAGCAUUGAGGUGGAGCUGGAGGUGAAGGAUCAUGUGGCUACAGUGGUCUCCACUCUCCUCUACGAGAACAAGGAGGACAAACCACUAGAGGCUGUUUUUGUCUUUCCUCUGCCUGGAGAUGCUGCUGUCUGUCAUUUCAGUGCUAAGAUUGGACAGACACAGAUUGUAGCUGAGGUGAAGGAGAAAAAGGAGGCUCGUGAGGAUUAUGAUGAUGCACUGAGCUCUGGUCAGCAGGCCUUC